UACGUAUGGUGCAAGCGUUAAUCGGAAUUACUGGGCGUAAAGCGUGCGCAGGCGGUUUUGUAAGUUUGUCGUGAAAAUCCCCCGGGCUCAACCUGGGAAUGGCGAUGAAGACUGCAAGGCUAGAAUCUGGCAGAGGGGGGGGUAGAAUUCCACGUGUAGCAGUGAAAUGCGUAGAGAUGUGGAGGAACACCGAUGGCGAAGGCAGCCCCCUGGGCCUGUACUGACGCUCAUGCACGAAAGCGUGGGGAGCAAACAGG
rnacentral:rRNA from 1 species